ensembl:lincRNA
GAAAGGUGGUCCCAGGGAAGCCAAAGGCUUGCCUUGGAUGGAAUUUCCAGGUCUCCCGGUGUUAAUAGAAUUGAGAUCGCCUUGAGAAUGUAGAUCGCAAGAACAGAAAGCUCCAUCCUUUCUCACUGACCCAAUUUGAGAAGUAAAAAUUGAUCAGCAGACCAGCUGGGCAUGCAGACACGGACCACAGCAUUUGCAUGGACUGUUAAGAGUGUUAUUCACAGCUUCUGGCGGAGGAGCCAGGCACUUCUCUGCAUCCAAAAUGGCAUGCUCGUGAUGACGAAACCCCGGCCUUCAUCACCUGCAUGAGGCCAGAGAGACACAGCAGCACCACCCCCGGGGUCAAGGGGAAUCCAGAAACAAAGAUCACAUGCCCAUUGCACAGAUCCAUUACUGAGUCACAAACCCACAGAGGAUGCUCAGCUGUGGCCUUCAGCCUUGCCAGGCUGCAGGAACACCUGUUGGGUGCAGUAAGGAGAGUCGUCUGUCCAGUGGGCUCGAGGAUGAAUCAUUACACGAAGCAGCAGCACCCAAUCGUUGACUGAUCAGCACACGUGAAGUGAAUUGUGCACAAUGGGCACCUUCGGGAAUCUCUAUGAAGGAAAUGACCCGUAAUGACCACAAAGACAUUCUCCGUACAUCAAACCCACAAUGACAAGCAGCAGAAGACUAAAUAUUUAACAACAUGGGAAUGAUUGAACGAAUCAUGAGACGCCCACAAAAGGGAAUAUUAUAUAAGCAUCAAUCUUCCUGAUGAAUACUUUAAUCCAAAGAAAUAUUCAUGUUAUAGAACACGUACAAAGUGAACCAUGACGUUUUGUGAACUUGACUUUCUUUUGAAAAUGCAUAGAAUGAAAACUGGAAGAAAGUAUGUCAGAUGGUUGCUACUAGAAGUCUUCAGGUGGCAUAUUAUGGGAAAUUUUUAUUUUCCUAAUUAUCAAAAGCAAACUUUCUAGAAGUUCCCAGUAGCAUUUUUGGGGAAGCAAGACUGGAUCAGCAUCAUAUUCCAAUAUAGACAUUCUUAAAUCCUUUACUCUCUGAUUUAUCAUUGUCUCUAUGCUUUUAAAUCAGGAGUGGUGAAUAUUUUAUGCAAAGGAUCAGAUAAUAAAUAUUUUAGGCUCUGUGAGCUUUGGGGUCUCUGUUACAACUACUUGAUGUUGUCGUCAUGUUUGGCACAAGUAAGUUUCCAAAGUCCUAGUGCAGGCUCUUAGCAGAGAUGGCAAGAAAACCAGCAGCACUCUGCCUUUCUGGCAGGGCUUAUGGGCUGAGCUGCUGAAUCAGCUUCAUGGGAUGAGCCCCAGUCCUCUCUCCAUCUGGUGGUUGGAGACCUCAGGGUCUUGCUUUGCACCAUGUGAUCAGCAGUGGGGACCUCCUCUGUUCCUGCCCUCUGCCUCACAGGGGGCUGGGAUGGCAUUUUCCACUGUUUCUUUCCGCUACUAUCUCCUCGUGGUGGAAUAAACAAAAUCCGUGUUUUGCCUGGAAUAGACCCAAUUUCUCCUGUCGUCCCAUAAUUAAUAACCCUGCUCCCUUUUGCUCUCCAAGUGUCUGAUUUGCGCAGUAAGCUAGAGGAUCGCCUCUUGCAAGGUG